CCUACGGGAGGCAGCAGUGAGGAAUAUUGGACAAUGGGCGCAAGCCUGAUCCAGCCAUGCCGCGUGCAGGAAGACGCAUCUAUGGUGUGUAAACUGCUUUUGUACGGGAAGAAACACUCCUUCGUGAAGGAGCUUGACGGUACCGUAAGAAUAAGGAUCGGCUAACUCCGUGCCAGCAGCCGCGGUAAUACGGAGGAUCCAAGCGUUAUCCGGAAUCAUUGGGUUUAAAGGGUCCGUAGGCGGUUUAAUAAGUCAGUGGUGAAAUCUGGUCGCUCAACGAUCAAACGGCCAUUGAUACUGUUAGACUUGAAUUACUAGGAAGUAACUAGAAUAUGUAGUGUAGCGGUGAAAUGCUUAGAUAUUACAUGGAAUACCAAUUGCGAAGGCAGGUUACUACUAGUGGAUUGACGCUGAUGGACGAAAGCGUGGGGAGCGAACAGGAUUAGAUACCCUGGUAGUCCACGCCGUAAACGAUGGAUACUAGCUGUUGGGCGCAAGUUCAGUGGCUAAGCGAAAGUGAUAAGUAUCCCACCUGGGGAGUACGUUCGCAAGAAUGAAACUCAAAUGAGUAGAGNGNGAGAGNGCGAGACGACGACGAGGGAGGAGG
rnacentral:rRNA from 1 species